rnacentral:rRNA from 1 species
UUAAGUUAGAAAGGGCGCACGGUGGAUGCCUUGACACUAGGAGUCGAUGAAGGACGGGACUAACGCCGAUAUGCUUCGGGGAGCUGUAAGUAAGCUUUGAUCCGAAGAUUUCCGAAUGGGGAAACCCACCAUACGUAAUGGUAUGGUAUCCUUAUCUGAAUACAUAGGGUAAGGAAGACAGACCCAGGGAACUGAAACAUCUAAGUACCUGGAGGAAGAGAAAGCAAAUGCGAUUUCCUGAGUAGCGGCGAGCGAAACGGAACAUAGCCCAAACCAAGAGGCUUGCCUCUUGGGGUUGUAGGACAUUCUAUACGGAGUUACAAAGGAACGAGGUAGACGAAGCGACCUGGAAAGGUCCGUCGUAGAGGGUAACAACCCCGUAGUCGAAACUUCGUUCUCUCUUGAAUGUAUCCUGAGUACGGCGGAACACGUGAAAUUCCGUCGGAAUCUGGGAGGACCAUCUCCCAAGGCUAAAUACUCCCUAGUGAUCGAUAGUGAACCAGUACCGUGAGGGAAAGGUGAAAAGCACCCCGGAAGGGGAGUGAAAGAGAUCCUGAAACCGUGUGCCUACAAAUAGUCAGAGCCCGUUAACGGGUGAUGGCGUGCCUUUGUAGAAUGAACCGGCGAGUUACGAUCCCGUGCGAGGUUAAGCUGAAGAGGCGGAGCCGCAGCGAAAGCGAGUCUGAAUAGGGCGUUUAGUACGUGGUCGUAGACCCGAAACCAGGUGAUCUACCCAUGUCCAGGGUGAAGUUCAGGUAACACUGAAUGGAGGCCCGAACCCACGCACGUUGAAAAGUGCGGGGAUGAGGUGUGGGUAGCGGAGAAAUUCCAAUCGAACCUGGAGAUAGCUGGUUCUCCCCGAAAUAGCUUUAGGGCUAGCCUUAAGUGUAAGAGUCUUGGAGGUAGAGCACUGAUUGGACUAGGGGUCCUCAUCGGAUUACCGAAUUCAGUCAAACUCCGAAUGCCAAUGACUUAUCCUUAGGAGUCAGACUGCGAGUGAUAAGAUCCGUAGUCAAAAGGGAACAGCCCAGACCGCCAGCUAAGGUCCCAAAGUGUGUAUUAAGUGGAAAAGGAUGUGGAGUUGCUUAGACAACUAGGAUGUUGGCUUAGAAGCAGCCACCAUUUAAAGAGUGCGUAAUAGCUCACUAGUCGAGUGACUCUGCGCCGAAAAUGUACCGGGGCUAAAUACACCACCGAAGCUGCGGAUUGAUACCAAUGGUAUCAGUGGUAGGGGAGCGUUCUAAGGACAGUGAAGUCAGACCGGAAGGACUGGUGGAGUGCUUAGAAGUGAGAAUGCCGGUAUGAGUAGCGAAAGACGGGUGAGAAUCCCGUCCACCGAAUGCCUAAGGUUUCCUGAGGAAGGCUCGUCCGCUCAGGGUUAGUCAGGACCUAAGCCGAGGCCGACAGGCGUAGGCGAUGGACAACAGGUUGAUAUUCCUGUACCACCUCUUUAUCGUUUGAGCAAUGGAGGGACGCAGAAGGAUAGAAGAAGCGUGCGAUUGGUUGUGCACGUCCAAGCAGUUAGGCUGAUAAGUAGGCAAAUCCGCUUAUCGUGAAGGCUGAGCUGUGAUGGGGAAGCUCCUUAUGGAGCGAAGUCUUUGAUUCCCCGCUGCCAAGAAAAGCUUCUAGCGAGAUAAAAGGUGCCUGUACCGCAAACCGACACAGGUAGGCGAGGAGAGAAUCCUAAGGUGUGCGAGAGAACUCUGGUUAAGGAACUCGGCAAAAUGACCCCGUAACUUCGGGAGAAGGGGUGCUCCUUAACGGAAAGCCGCAGUGAAUAGGCCCAAGCGACUGUUUAGCAAAAACACAGCUCUCUGCGAAGCCGUAAGGCGAAGUAUAGGGGGUGACACCUGCCCGGUGCUGGAAGGUUAAGGAGAGGGGUUAGCGUAAGCGAAGCUCUGAACUGAAGCCCCAGUAAACGGCGGCCGUAACUAUAACGGUCCUAAGGUAGCGAAAUUCCUUGUCGGGUAAGUUCCGACCCGCACGAAAGGUGUAACGAUUUGGGCACUGUCUCAACCAGAGACUCGGUGAAAUUAUAGUACCUGUGAAGAUGCAGGUUACCCGCGACAGGACGGAAAGACCCCGUGGAGCUUUACUGUAGCCUGAUAUUGAAUUUUGGUACAGUUUGUACAGGAUAGGCGGGAGCCUUUGAAACCGGAGCGCUAGCUUCGGUGGAGGCGCUGGUGGGAUACCGCCCUGACUGUAUUGAAAUUCUAACCUACGGGUCUUAUCGACCCGGGAGACAGUGUCAGGUGGGCAGUUUGACUGGGGCGGUCGCCUCCUAAAGUGUAACGGAGGCGCCCAAAGGUUCCCUCAGAAUGGUUGGAAAUCAUUCGUAGAGUGCAAAGGCAUAAGGGAGCUUGACUGCGAGACCUACAAGUCGAGCAGGGACGAAAGUCGGGCUUAGUGAUCCGGUGGUUCCGCAUGGAAGGGCCAUCGCUCAACGGAUAAAAGCUACCCCGGGGAUAACAGGCUUAUCUCCCCCAAGAGUCCACAUCGACGGGGAGGUUUGGCACCUCGAUGUCGGCUCAUCGCAUCCUGGGGCUGUAGUCGGUCCCAAGGGUUGGGCUGUUCGCCCAUUAAAGCGGUACGCGAGCUGGGUUCAGAACGUCGUGAGACAGUUCGGUCCCUAUCCGUCGUGGGCGUAGGAAAUUUGAGAGGAGCUGUCCUUAGUACGAGAGGACCGGGAUGGACGCACCGCUGGUGUACCAGUUGUUCUGCCAAGGGCAUAGCUGGGUAGCUAUGUGCGGAAGGGAUAAGUGCUGAAAGCAUCUAAGCAUGAAGCCCCCCUCAAGAUGAGAUUUCCCAUAGCGUAAGCUAGUAAGAUCCCUGAAAGAUGAUCAGGUUGAUAGGUUCGAGGUGGAAGCAUGGUGACAUGUGGAGCUGACGAAUACUAAUAGAUCGAGGACUUAACCAU